rnacentral:rRNA from 1 species
CAGCACCUCAAGUGGUCAGGAUGAUUAUUGGGCCUAAAGCAUCCGUAGCCGGCGCUGUAAGUUUUCGGUUAAAUCUGUACGCUCAACGUACAGGCUGCCGGGAAUACUGCAGCGCUAGGGAGUGGGAGAGGCAGACGGUACUCGGUAGGAAGGGGUAAAAUCCUUUGAUCUAUUGAUGACCACCUGUGGCGAAGGCGGUCUACCAGAACACGUCCGACGGUGAGGGAUGAAAGCUGGGGGAGCAAACCGGAUUAGAGACCCGCGUAGUCC